rnacentral:lncRNA from 1 species
UUGGAGGGAGUCCGCCCAGUUAGCUGAGUAUCCAUUGAUCACUGUCGAGAGAAAGAAAAAGCUACAUAAAUGUAUAUUAUGUGGAUGGAUCUAUAGUCAGGAGCUCUAGCGCGCGCUCUUUCUGUAUCUCGCCCCCUUUCUCCUUCUCUAAUUCCCAACCUGCCAGAGCAGAACCCAAAUUUCUCCUUCCUAUUCUGAAUCCACAGACACCGGAUCCACCUGAGAGCACCGGGCUAGGAGAGCAGCCCAGGCUGCGUCAGAGUCUCAGGGAAUAGAAUUCAUCUCGGUUCUCCGUCCCAGCCCUCUGAGAAGGCGGGAGGGAAUGUUUGAGUCCCGGACGACUUUUCCCGUCCGGAGAGCGGCAGCCAGUGCAGCCGGUGGCUUGAGGGAGGAAGCUGUGUGUGAGUUUCCUAGGUGUCUAGUAUCUCCUCUUAGAGACUGGUCUAAGAAUCGCUGAAGUUGGUGAAGUGGAGAAGACCCUCAUCUGCAGAGGAGGAUAUCCCAGGACACAUGUGCAGAAGAUAAGGAUUAUUCAUAUUCACCACCCAACAGCAUCUUGCUGUGCUUGGAUCUCAGGAU